GAUGAACGCUGGGGGCGUGCCUAAUACAUGCAAGUCGAGCGAACAGACGAGGAGCUUGCUCCUCUGACGUUAGCGGCGGACGGGUGAGUAACACGUGGAUAACCUACCUAUAAGACUGGGAUAACUUCGGGAAACCGGAGCUAAUACCGGAUAAUAUAUUGAACCGCAUGGUUCAAUAGUGAAAGACGGUUUUGCUGUCACUUAUAGAUGGAUCCGCGCCGCAUUAGCUAGUUGGUAAGGUAACGGCUUACCAAGGCGACGAUGCGUAGCCGACCUGAGAGGGUGAUCGGCCACACUGGAACUGAGACACGGUCCAGACUCCUACGGGAGGCAGCAGUAGGGAAUCUUCCGCAAUGGGCGAAAGCUUGACGGAGCAACGCCGCGUGAGUGAUGAAGGUCUUCGGAUCGUAAAACUCUGUUAUUAGGGAAGAACAAAUGUGUAAGUAACUAUGCACGUCUUGACGGUACCUAAUCAGAAAGCCACGGCUAACUACGUG
rnacentral:rRNA from 1 species